rnacentral:lncRNA from 1 species
AAUGACUAGAAAGUGACUGCACUAGAAGCUUUGAAUGUUGGGUAACUGGGAAGGAUUAACUCGGUUCUGAUGUGCCCUUUGUUAAUGAAAAUCAAAUCUUUGCUAUUUGUCCAACCACCCUUAUAAUAACUAAAUUUGUCUAAAGACUGGAGACAUGUGUGGUAAUAAUUAGAUAUGGAGUCACCAAAGAACAGGGUAGCCAUGCCUUUGUGUUUUCUGUGCCUUAACUAACAUUCUGUUGUCCUAAUGUGCAAAUGAUACAUUGUUGGUUUUAAAAAAUAUUAUGGCAAUGUUUAUAUCCAUGCUGAGAGUUAAUAGCAGGUAUUGUGUCAUGAAGUGCAGCUAGUCAGUGAGAUAGUCCUGAUACAGGUGGGGUAAUUAUUAUUUAGGGACAAUUUGCGGCUGUUUUUCAAGACAGACUGGGUCUUUAGAAGUUGUGCCAGCUGUUACCGGUGGUUCUGCUUCAUUGGGAGAAUUAUUUCCCUCCUUAUCCCUGUGUACGUGUGAAAUGAUGCAAAACAAUAGAGUGUUCGUGUAGUUUGACUGCUUUUCUUGCAGGCAAGGAGACUGAAGUAAUUAGAGGUUGAACUGACUCACCAAGGUUACUGGAGAAGCAUGACUACCCAAUUUUGUAAAGGAGAGAAAAGCCCCAAACAAAUACAAAUAGGAAACAUGAAAAUACGAGAGAGGAUCAGAGCCCAAGAAAGCAAAAUGAGUAAUAUGGACCAGAAAUGGAAUCUCAUAUACUUGAACUAGUUGUAAUGGGAGGUAUACUUAAUGCGCUAGCCUUA